AUUGAACGCUGGCGGCCGGCCUAACACAUGCAAGUCGAGCGAGCGGCGGACGGGUGAGUAAUGUCUGGGAAACUGCCUGAUGGAGGGGGAUAACUACUGGAAACGGUAGCUAAUACCGCAUACCAUCAGAUGUGCCCAGAUGGGAGUAGCUAGUAGGUGGGGUAACAGCUCACCUAGGCGACGCUACCUAGCUGGUCUGAGAGGAUGACCAACCACACUGGAACUGAGACACGAUCCAGACUCCUACGGGAGGGAGCAGUGGGGAAUAUUGCACAAGGGGAGCAAGCCUGAUGCAGCCAUGCCGCGUGUGUGAAGAAGGCCUUCGGGUUGUAAAGCACUUUCAGCGGGGGGGCGUUACCCGCAGAAGAAGCAACGGCUAACUCCGUGCCAGCAGCCGCGGUAAUAC
rnacentral:rRNA from 1 species